rnacentral:rRNA from 1 species
GACAGGCAAUAUAUUAGCAUAAAGAUUCGUCUUUAGCGCUAAUUGUUAAAUAUGCUAGUCCUUUCAUGAUUAUGUGAUAGGUGGUGCAUGGCCGUUCUUAGUUCGUGGAGUGAUCUGUCUGCUUAAUUGCGUUUCACUAAGGGCCCAUAAAUUCAAGGUAUGUUAGCAAAUGCUGCUCUAUUGACCCCUAAUAGGCUUAACUGUCUUUAGCGCGUGUCUCUACGAGUUCUUUAAAGCACUGCGCAUGCUGUUGGGUCCUGAAAGCAACGAACGUGACCGCAACGUCUUGUUGCCUCUCUAUAAUACCUUCUUAUUUUUAAUAAGAGUAUUUACCUGAGGCUAUUUUAAAACUAGACGGACCGCUGUUUCUUUCUUAAACCAGAGGAAGGUUGCGGCAAUAACAGGUCUGUGAUGCCCUUAGAUGUUCC